rnacentral:rRNA from 1 species
CAGCAGCAGCCACGGUAAUACAGAGGUCCCAAGCGUUGUUCGGAAUCACUGGGCGUAAAGGGUGCGUAGGCGGCGCGGAAAGUCAGGGGUGAAAUCCCGGAGCUCAACUCCGGAACUGCCUUUGAUACUCCCGCGCUUGAGAACUGGAGGGGAGACCGGAAUUCACGGUGGAGCAGUGAAAUGCGUGGAUAUCGUGAGGAACACUAGUGGCGAAGGCGGGUCUCUGGACAGUAUCUGACGCUGAGGCACGAAGGCCAGGGGAGCGAACGGGAUUAGAUACCCCCGUAGUCCCUGUCUCUUAUAC